GAAUGGGAGGUAGAAGAUUGACAGUUGGUAAAACUGUCAACUGUCAGUUAGUAAAACUGUCAAUGUUCUACCUCCCAUUC